rnacentral:rRNA from 1 species
CCAUCAGAUGUGCCCAGAUGGGAUUAGCUAGUAGGUGGGGUAACGGCUCACCUAGGCGACGAUCCCUAGCUGGUCUGAGAGGAUGACCAGCCACACUGGAACUGAGACACGGUCCAGACUCCUACGGGAGGCAGCAGUGGGGAAUAUUGCACAAUGGGCGCAAGCCUGAUGCAGCCAUGCCGCGUGUAUGAAGAAGGCCUUCGGGUUGUAAAGUACUUUCAGCGGGGAGGAAGGUGUUGUGGUUAAUAACCACAGCAAUUGACGUUACCCGCAGAAGAAGCACCGGCUAACUCCGUGCCAGCAGCCGCGGUAAUACGGAGGGUGCAAGCGUUAAUCGGAAUUACUGGGCGUAAAGCGCACGCAGGCGGUCUGUCAAGUCGGAUGUGAAAUCCCCGGGCUCAACCUGGGAACUGCAUUCGAAACUGGCAGGCUGGAGUCUUGUAGAGGGGGGUAGAAUUCCAGGUGUAGCGGUGAAAUGCGUAGAGAUCUGGAGGAAUACCGGUGGCGAAGGCGGCCCCCUGGACAAAGACUGACGCUCAGGUGCGAAAGCGUGGGGAGCAAACAGGAUKRGAUAGCCCUGGUAGUCCACGCCGUAAACGAUGUCGAUUUGGAGGUUGUGCCCUUGAGGCGUGGCUUCCGGAGCUAACGCGUUAAAUCGACCGCCUGGGGAGUACGGCCGCAAGGUUAAAACUCAAAUGAAUUGACGGGGGCCCGCACAAGCGGUGGAGCAUGUGGUUUAAUUCGAUGCAACGCGAAGAACCUUACCUGGUCUUGACAUCCACAGAACUUUCCAGAGAUGGAUUGGUGCCUUCGGGAACUGUGAGACAGGUGCUGCAUGGCUGUCGUCAGCUCGUGUUGUGAAAUGUUGGGUUAAGUCCCGCAACGAGCGCAACCCUUAUCCUUUGUUGCCAGCGGUUAGGCCGGGAACUCAAAGGAGACUGCCAGUGAUAAACUGGAGGAAGGUGGGGAUGACGUCAAGUCAUCAUGGCCCUUACGACCAGGGCUACACACGUGCUACAAUGGCGCAUACAAAGAGAAGCGACCUCGCGAGAGCAAGCGGACCUCAUAAAGUGCGUCGUAGUCGGAUUGCAGUCUGCAACUCGACUCCAUGAAG